CUCAACGUCCCUCGUGCUGCAACUAAGACCCGGUACAGCCAAAUAAAAGUGGUCUGUGUGAAUGUGUUAGAGGUAAGACUGUAUGAACCAUUUCUCUAAUUGUGGUGAGUAUUUUCCCUACUGAUUGUUAGAAAAUGAAUCUGAUGGCUGGGUUCCAUCAGUUCCACUGCCUCCAUGGCAGACAGAUGGCUGACUCUAGAUCCGUUCAGAGUACCAACUGGGGCGUGAAGGGUAGUGGAGGACCUGACCUACAAUGAGAUGAGCACUGAAGUCUGCAAGGAUUUGUCUGCUAGCACAGCACAGAGCUGGCACGUCCCAAGGCCUCCCUCUCCAGGUGGGCAGCCACGCAAGGCCUGCCUGUGCCUCCUCCAGAACCCACUCCUAAAGGGUCCUUUGCAUAAGGCCUUAGCGUGGCUCCUGCUGGCAGUGGUGGGAGCCAACCCCCUAGGCAGAACAUAGGAAGCCUUUCCUGCUCUGGCCCCUGCCUGCCUUUCCAUCCUCACCUGCUCGAGCCCAUGCUGUCCUCAGCCUCAGCAUAAGCACUGCUGGCUGCUUCUAGUUCCUUGAGUAGGAGAGACCUUCCAGCCCCAGUGUGUUUCCCUAUAAGACUCCUGCUAAGCCUCCAGGGCUCAGUGCAGACCUCGUGGCUUCAGGAAGCUUCCCUCCUGCUGCACCACCCUCAUUGCACUCACGACAGGGGUUCUAACUGCCUGCCUGUCUCUGCACUUCGCCGUGCACACCCCAACGCCAGGUGCUGCCUCCCCCUCUGCAUUGCCCAUCACACCUGGCAGGCAACCCUGUGUAUUCAAGUGGGCGGGGAGGCAGCUCGGGGUCUCUGUGGAUCUGGCACUGGGAAUUGCUCUUUAAAAGUGCAAGUCCUUUCACACACAAGGAGCACCAUCGCUGCUAUAGGAGAUAGUGGUGACUUUAGGGUCAUUAUUAAAAUGAAAGUAGAAGUCAUCUGUGUUAAAAUGAAAGUAGAAAUCACCCGCAGGUCCACCCUGGGCAGGCAGACAGUUUUUGUGGAAGAUAAAACCAUUGGUUAAGGGUGACAUUUCUCACUUGACAUGAGAGAUGAAUAUAUGAAGCAAGGGUGGUAUAAUUACACUCUAAUUUCACUCUUUUUCUAGAGUUUCAGCAGCCACUAGAUGUAAGUGCCAAGGGGACCACACCAUCUGCUCAUGUGAUCAGAUUCCCUACAUGGUUUGUCACCUGCAAUUUUCAACUGUGGGAUCCAGUGGUGGGGGCUGGGGCAGGGCCAGGUCUAUUGUGCUAGACGCCCUGUGGGACGGUGCAUCUUCUGGGAGGGGCUGUGUCCUCCAUGGAGGGUGCUGGCGCUGCCCCAAGGCAGCAUCCUUGGUUAGCAACCAGAGCCCUGCCGGCCAGCUCUGCCCGCUUCACCAGCCUCAUGCCCUCAGUGAAGGCUUGGGGGAUUCCCCUCAGCCUUCCAGGGAUGCUCCAUGGAACAAAGUCAGGGGAGAGUCCUUCCCCACCAUCUCUCCACCAAUGCUUUCCUAGGUGAUUUUUCUUUUAGGUGGCAUUUCCCUAGAAGUCUCCUUUAUGUCAAGACUUGAACUGCUGCUUAUUGAAGCCAUCCUACAAAGAUGAUCUCCUGUUUCCAGGAGUCAGAGGGCCAAAGCUGGAGGCCCAGAAGAGAAGGCCAUGCACAUAGCAGCAGCGCAAAUCUGUGGGCCACCGUGACCCCGGCUCUGUCCCAGGGUUUGUGAGUCUUUCUGCUCCUGGAGCAGCUGCUUACCAACAUCUGUCUGCAGGAGCAUCAUUUGGAACUUUAUUAAUCUGUUGCUGCCAGGUAUCCUCCCUAGAUUUGGGCUGCUUGGGGCCUAGCCACCUGUGCCCCACCCCCCACCGAGGGGACUCUGAUGCUGAUCUCUUGAGGACCUGUUGGCUAGAGAGAAUGAACUGGAAUCUAGAGGGUCAGUACUGAAACUGUGGUCCACUGACCAGCAGCACUGCCUUACCUGGAGUGUGUUAAAAAAUGCAAUCUCGGACCACCUAGGCCUACUGAGUCAGGAUCUUCAUCUAAACAGGAACCUUGGGCAAUACUAUGCACCAAAAGAAUUUAAGACACACCAACCCAACCAUGGGGGAGGCAGAAUUGAGAUAAAGGCAAAGGAGCCCUAUAAGUUUCAAAAAGAAACCCAAGUCACCCUGGGGAAUGUUGGAGGUAUUUGGAGGCACAAAGUGUUUGCUCCCAGGUUGUGAACUCUCAGUCUAGGAGACAGGCAAAAGCGGUGCCUGUGUCAUCUGACCCACAGGAAUGAGCCAGCAGUGGUGUUCCCUCCAAAGUGCUGGAUACUCAUUGUCAAGCACAAACAUGCAGCCCAAGGCCUGUGGCUAUGAAAUGGGUGCCAUUCUCAAGUGGCAUGCAAAGGAAGAUGCAGGCUGAUUGCGUUUUUCAUUCCAAACUCACUUGCUUAUUUGGGAUAGAAUACAGGCAUCCGAUGUCAACCCUUACAUCAUAAGGUCUGUGCUUGUUUGGCUGAGACCCAUCCCUAGCCCCAUGAUCAAGCUUGGGGCCCAUUCGAGUAUGAGACUCCAAUGUCUGUGACCCCAUCCCCCCCCCCACCACUGCCAGCCUCUGCCUCUGGGUCCUCCAUGAAUGCAGGCUAUGCGUGCCUGCUCCCUGGCAAAACUGAGCCUCUGCACCAGAUGUUCACUUACCCAGAGCUUUUGGUGAGUUUAUUUUUUUAAGAUUGGGGCUAAUUCAGAGAGCUUAUUCUUCUCACUGGCCCUUUUCCAUCCAUCUCUUCCUAGCCAUCCCCAUUCCACCACCAAACAAUACAAGUACUGUUGGAUCAACUUGGGAAUCACCUUCUGUGGCUUCAUUCUACCUGUGGGAUUUCAUUCUGUGGACACUUGCUUCCAAAUAAAUACCUGUGCUUCCCUA